UACGUAGGGGGCAAGCGUUGUCCGGAUUUAUUGGGCGUAAAGAGCGUGUAGGCGGUUUGGUAGGUCCGUUGUGAAAACUCGAGGCUCAACCUCGAGACGCCGGCGGGAACCAUCAGGCUAGAGUCCGGAAGAGGAGAGUGGAAUUCCUGGUGUAGCGGUGAAAUGCGCAGAUAUCAGGAAGAACACCCGUGGCUAAGGCGGCUCUCUAGUACGGUACUGACGCUGAGACGCGAAAGCGUGGGGAGCGAACAGG
rnacentral:rRNA from 1 species